CAUCACUACGCUAGAUGCAUAUCAAUAAGCGGAGGAAAAGAAACUAACAAGGAUUCCCCUAGUAACGGCGAGGUGAAGCGGGAAGAGCUCAAAUUUGAAAUCUUAAAGGGUUUCCCUUUACGAAUUGUAGUUUAAAGAAGUGUUUUCUGUUGGAGUUUCGGUAAAAGUUCUUUGGAAUAGGACAUCAUAGAGGGUGAGAAUCCCGUAUUUGACCGUUACUUUCCAGCUGUGUGAUACACUUUCAAAGAGUCGGAUUGUUUGGGAAUGCAGUCCAAAAUGGGUGGUAAAUUUCAUCUAAAGCUAAAUAUUGGCGAGAGACCGAUAGCGAACAAGUACCGUGAGGGAAAGAUGAAAAGAACUUUGAAAAGAGAGUUAAACAGUACGUGAAAUCGUCAAAAGGGAAGCGUUUGACACCAGUGUUGUUUAGUUGAAAAUCAAUUCAAUAAUUUCUUGAUUCUAAGUAGUAUUGACUUCAUCAGCUUGCUGCUUUCUUCUCAGAAAUUAUUGAAUGCACUUUUCAGUUAACAAGUCAACAUCAAUUUCUUUUGUUGUAAAAGGGUAAGAGGAAGGUGGCUUGCGCUUCGGCUCAAGUGUUUAUAGCCUUUUAUCUCUGCAAUCGGAGAGAUUGAGGUCUGCAGCGUAGAUCCUUCGGGGUUAGAUACAUUGGUGCUAAGCUAUAGCCUUGUAUAGACAACUUGUUGACUAUGCUCAGUCAUGUAGCUUACUCGCUGAUGCUAUUUUACCUACGCUUAGGAUGUUGACACACGCGCGUGCUCG
rnacentral:rRNA from 1 species